AUUGAACGCUGGCGGCAUGCCUUACACAUGCAAGUCGAACGGCAGCGCGGGGCAACCUGGCGGCGAGUGGCGAACGGGUGAGUAAUAUAUCGGAACGUACCCUGGAGUGGGGGAUAACGUAGCGAAAGUUACNNUAAUACCGCAUACGAUCUAAGGAUGAAAGUGGGGGAUCGCAAGACCUCAUGCUCCUGGAGCGGCCGAUAUCUGAUUAGCUAGUUGGUAGGGUAAAAGCCUACCAAGGCAUCGAUCAGUAGCUGGUCUGAGAGGACGACCAGCCACACUGGAACUGAGACACGGUCCAGACUCCUACGGGAGGCAGCAGUGGGGAAUUUUGGACAAUGGGCGCAAGCCUGAUCNAGCAAUGCCGCGUGAGUGAAGAAGGCCUUCGGGUUGUAAAGCUCUUUUGUCAGGGAAGAAACGGGUUUUUCUAAUACAGAGAUCUAAUGACGGUACCUGAAGAAUAAGCACCGGCUAACUACGUGCCAGCAGCCGCGGUAAUACGUAGGGUGCAAGCGUUAAUCGGAAUUACUGGGCGUAAAGCGUGCGCAGGCGGUUUUGUAAGACUGUCGUGAAAUCCCCGGGCUCAACCUGGGAAUGGCGAUGGUGACUGCAAGGCUAGAGUUUGGCAGAGGGGGGUAGAAUUCCACGUGUAGCAGUGAAAUGCGUAGAUAUGUGGAGGAACACCGAUGGCGAAGGCAGCCCCCUGGGUCAAAACUGACGCUCAUGCACGAAAGCGUGGGGAGCAAACAGGAUUAGAUACCCUGGUAGUCCACGCCCUAAACGAUGUCUACUAGUUGUCGGGUUUUAAUUAACUUGGUAACGCAGCUAACGCGUGAAGUAGACCGCCUGGGGAGUACGGUCGCAAGAUUAAAACUCAAAGGANNUGACGGGGACCCGCACAAGCGGUGGAUGAUGUGGAUUAAUUCGAUGCAACGCGAAAAACCUUACCUACCCUUGACAU
rnacentral:rRNA from 1 species